GGGCAAAUAGUGUAGUUGGUUAUCGCGCCCGCUUCGCACCGCAAUUGAUUACGUAAUAGGGCUGCGGGAGGUGCUGGGUUCAAUUCCCAGUUUGUCCA